rnacentral:rRNA from 1 species
AUUGAACGCUGGCGGCAUGCCUUACACAUGCAAGUCGAACGGCAGCACGGGUGCUUGCACCUGGUGGCGAGUGGCGCACGGGUGAGUAAUACAUCGGAACAUGUCCUGUAGUGGGGGAUAGCCCGGCGAAAGCCGGAUUAAUACCGCAUACGAUCUACGGAUGAAAGCGGGGGACCUUCGGGCCUCGCGCUAUAGGGUUGGCCGAUGGCUGAUUAGCUAGUUGGUGGGGUAAAGGCCUACCAAGGCGACGAUCAGUAGCUGGCCUGAGAGGACGACCAGCCACACUGGGACUGAGACACGGCCCAGACUCCUACGGGAGGCAGCGGUGGGGAAUUUUGGACAAUGGGCGAAAGCCUGAUCCAGCAAUGCCGCGUGUGUGAAGAAGGCCUUCGGGUUGUAAAGCACUUUUGUCCGGAAAGAAAUCCUUGGCCCUAAUACGGUCGGGGGAUGACGGUACCGGAAGAAUAAGCACCGGCUAACUACGUG